ACCUUAUCAAAAAUGGGGACCACAUUUCGGUAAGUAAACACUAACUUUAUUUUUAUUUAUAAAAGUUAUAUUUGUAAGUAAGUUGAAUAAAAUCUAUAUUUUAAUUUCUAUUAAAUUUUCAAUUGUUAUGCUUAUUAACAAAACAAACAUUCAUCGUAGUAGAUAAACUUCAAAUUUGGAACAUUAAGGUAUGAAAAUCAUAUCAAAACUAUGUUCAAACCACGGCGGGUGUCUCUUGAAACACAUAACACUGAGGUACCUAGUUAUGCAACCCAUAAUGACCCCUUAAGAUGUUAAUAAAGUCACACAUAGGACCUGUUCCGUAUACUAUAGUUUUAAUGUGCCGUCAAAAAACCUACUGUUAUUAACAACUGCCAUCAUCUUAUGUGAAAUAUUGGAGAUUGGAAGACAUUUUUUUCACGUUUUAUUCUGUUGCAUCGGGAUCAGUCAUUUCAAAACAAUUGCGCAAUUAAUUGAUUGAAAUUAUAUGAUAUUGAUGCUCCCUUAACUGCAAAUUAUAGUUGUCAAAGUCUGUGUGAAAUACAAUGCUACCUAGAUGUAAUUGUUUAUCAGUUAAAAAUGGAAAGUAUUACAAAGCUUCGUAUAGUUAACAUAGACAUGGUAUCAGAUUUUUUUAGGGUGAUGGAUUUUACGUAAAGCUGGACAAUGACGAAGUUGACGUUGAUUUUCUCGGUUGUGUACGCUGUUAUACUAUGCAUUGUGCAUGCAGAAGGUAUGCAGUAAUAUGUUUUUCAGUGACAUUUAUUAUUAUGAGAAUUGAAACGUACUCUCAGCCCCGAGGAUAUUCGCUACAGAUUUGAUUUUAUUUCGGUUAUACAUUUAUCAGUUGCAAAUCGUGCCACAAUUUGUAUGUGAUUGUCCCGGUAGUAGACAAUAUAAAGCAUGUCGUAUGUUUUUUUUAAUCAUAUUUGUACAAAACUAGGCCGUUGUUUUUCGUAUUUGAAUUUUUUUCAUGUGCCACGUGGGGUAUCGGUUAGUGGUGGGUGGGGUUUAUAGCUUGCCUUAAGGUAUGAUAUCCUAAUUAGUAAGCUGUGGAGUGACAUAUAUUUACUGCCUGCCAUAUCAUUUUGUCUAUUGUUGAGAGUUAUCUCAUUGUGCGCGCUAAAAGAUUCCGUUCUAAAUAUGAUUGUAUUGCUGCUUGUUUUUCCAUGGUCCAUUGACAACUAGGUGAUACACUCUAGGAAAAACGACGAAUGAGUCACAUUCAUACAUCUAUGUUAAAUAAAGGCAACAGUAGCAUACCGCUGUUUGAAAUUCAUAAAUCGAUUAAGAAAAAACCAAAUCCGUGUUACAAACUAAUGAUCUAGUGACAACUAGCUAAUAUACUAUAGGACGAAAAAAAAGUAAUAUAAGAAACCACUUAUGAGUCACAUACAGUACAUAAUACAAUGAGAUGCAGGGGUUCAUGGAUUAAACGUGCAAUCCUGAUCGUAUGUGGCCAUGUACUGAUCCAUCCCGUACAGCCAACCAGAUUUAUAAACGGUAUUUGUUUUGUCGGACUGGUAAAAGUCAAGGGAAUCAAUAGUGUCGACAGGGUAAAUCCCUGUUGGUAUGCAUCACAGUGGUAUGCAUGCAUGAUCAGCGUUGCGAAUACGAACUCAAAAUGUCACGACAGGCAAUAAAACACAAUGCGAACUAACACGUUUAAUCAAAGAAUUCAUGCUCUCUCUCAAAGUGGAGAGCCUGUAACCCAGUCCUUUUAUUGGUUGCUCUCUGUCAUAACUGUUUUUCCGCAUAUAUAUAAAACAGAUAAAUGUACUAGUAAAUGUUUAUGCUCUUUUUGAAAUGUUACCCAUUUUGUCAGUUCGACGCCUUGUACAAUUUUAAAAAGUAAUACUUACACUAUACCAAAAAAAAAAAUGUUAACCACGUAGAGUAAGGUUUGUGAAAGUACAUGAUUUAUGGUAUUGAAGCAUAAAAAUAUGUUUUUUUUAUUAUUUCACCGCAUAUAAUUUGUCGUAUAUGUGUUCUACAUUGUUCUAGGAUCUAUAAACAGUGACAAUGCUGCAGCUUCCAACGAACCAAAUAGGUUAGUACAGUAAACUUCAUAUGUUUCUAUAUUUUUUUAUAUAAUAUAUAUUAGAUUGUUAGUUUUCCAUUUUGAAGGUUUGCAAUACUAGUAGUCACGUUGUGACCUUUUAUAGCGUGCUGUUCGGUUUAAUUAAAGGCUCCGUUUUGAAGUCCGUACUUUGGCCUAUUAAUGGUUUACUUUUACACAUAGUGACUUGACGAACAGUUUUCUCAUUGGUACUCAAACAAGUUAAUAAUCGUAUUUAUAAUUUAUAACGAAAUGUAAUUUUGCAACACUGCAGGAAUAAAAUGUAAUUAAUAAGGCCAGUAUAUAUAAAAAAAUGGAACACUGCAUUUUGCCUAUCUGGAUCAUAUCUGUAGAACUUAAAACACAUACAAUAAGCUAUCUUAAAAAGGAAAUGUUCUAACAGUGUGCUCUGGUUGUGGCUAGCUAGAAAAGCUUUUAGUCUUUAUUGCAUUGACUGAAGAAGGCUUCUUACUUUUCCGACGAUGGAAUUUGGCCUAUUGUAAUGCGAUAUUAAAUUCUAGGGAGGGUAAUGGCUGGGUAUUCGGCUGAGUCCGACAAUAACGGACGCUCUUGGUUUAUUCUGCUUGAAGUAUAAGUUUGCCGUUCAAAAAAGCCAAUUUUUAGUCUAUUAAGCAGUGUUUUGUGAAUUCAGCGAUGUUUUCAAUUGGUUAAGGUGGUACCCAACACUUUCACUAAAAUUAAUUUGGCUCGUUUAAUUUUCAUAAAAUUUUGACAAAGUAUUUACUUUGAACCUAUAACAAAAAUAUAUAGAUUUCUAAAAUUUUGAACCAACCAUUUUAUCAGAAAAAAUACACUGGUUAUAUAGCAGUUUGACAAACACCAAUUUUGAUCAUUGAGAAGCUUUAUAUUCUCUUAACAACACAAUGUAAUUAAAACGUUUAGCUGACUUUACAGAGUUAUCUCCCUGUAGUGUUAGGUACCACCUUAAUAUGCUCGUGACGUCAUAGCUCUGGCAUGACAUAUGUCAUAAGAAAAAGGCGUCUUGCUGUAAAAGUGUCUUUGAAGAUUACAAACAAUAUGUGCACACCGGGUGGUAAUAUCAGUUUGGUAAUUAUACUUCGGAGGUUCCGCACUCAAUUUGUCUCGAUCAAGAACGCACUAAUCUGCGUAGCGUUUAUGUUCUCUGUGAUGAGUUUGCGUUUUACCGUCCUGAAAUCUGAUAUUAAAUACAUGACAAGAUAUAUGAUGUUUUUUUUAGUUCCUUUUGGCUUGAACUAUCAGUCAGUAACUACGAGUACUCUCAGAUUUGUACUUUGAAUAUAAACAAAUUAUCAUUGCAUUACUUGUAUUAACUACCAGUAAUAUAUUUCAGUAUGGCAAUAGGAGCUAUCGUCGCUACAGGUGUUCUUUGUGGAAUUGGUGCCGUGUUGUGUAUUGGAGGACUGGUGUUCGCAUGCAAGAAAUGUGUAUCAG
rnacentral:lncRNA from 1 species